CAAACACUGCGUACACAUUAUUCUAUUUAAUCUUCAUAACCCAGUGAGGAUAUCAACCAGGAUAUGGCAUUGCAUUGGAUCCCAACCAGGAUAUGACGUUACAUUGGAUCCCAACCAGGAUAUGGCAUUGCACUGGAUCCCAACCAGGAUAUGGCAUUGCACUGGAUCCCAACCAGGAUAUGGCAUUGCGUUGGAUCCCAACCAGGUUAUGGCAUUACAUUGGAUCCCAACCAGGUUAUGGCAUUGCAUUGGAUCCCAACCAGGAUAUGACAUUGCAUUUACUCAUCACGCCUCCUUAGGUUCCUCUUGGCUGUGACGGUUUCUCAGACUAUCCUUGUUUUUUAGGACCUUGACAGUUUUGAGGCAUACUGGAGAGCUCAACGUGGGCGUUUCUUUCUGUAACAAGUAUGCAUCAUGGCUGGCUGACUCCUCCCCAUAACAAGCAGUUUAAAGGUGAACGGAAAUGGAUCUUGGCGAUAGCAGCUUUUGGAAGCCUAGGCGCGGCACAGAAGGUCAGACAGGAAUGGCUUGUCUUCCACUACAACAUGGGGCUUCAUCGGAAGCACCGCUGCUGAGGAACAACCACCUCCUCCUGACCAUCGCAAGCUGCCCAGGAAGACAUGCUCAUAGCAGUGUCCGUUUCCCUGCCUAACUUUCCACCAGAAGAUUCCUUCAUGUCUACGGGCGGACCCAGGCCGAUCUUGGAAUGCAUGUUUAAGUUUGUCUGACCUUUCUAUCUUUUGCCUUCCUCUUCACUAGAGAACCUGAGCACUAGGUUCUCCUGUAUUAUUUAUUUUAUCUUAUUCUUUUCUUUUUUUUUUUUUUUUUUUGAGGCAGGGCCUUGCUCUGUCACUGAGGCUGAAAUGCAAUGGUGUGGUCAUAGCUCACUCCUCGGCUCAAGUGAUCCUCCAGCCUCAGCCUCUAGAGUAGCUGGUAUUACAAAUGUGCAGCACCACAGCCAGCUAAUUUCUUUUCUUUCUUUCUUUCUUUCUUUUUUUUUUUUGUAGAGAUGGGAGUCUUGCUGUAUUGCCUACGUUGGUCUCCAACUCCUGGGCUCAAGUGAUCCUCUUGCCUCAGCCUCCCAAAGUGGUGGGAUCACAGGUGUGAGCCACCACAUCUGGGUAGAUUCUUCUUUAGGUUCCUGAGCCUGGAGAGAUGGCCUGCAGGGGCAUCUGCUGCAAAGGAAUGAGAUAAGCUGUGAUAAUCUGGGUCCUCCAAGAAGCAGAAGCCAUAGAUUUUAUCAGGGAGCUGGAAAAAAGUGGGAUGACCAUUAGACUGCAGUGCAAGUCUGACUCCAAAUGAAGGAGAGGAAAGGUUGUAUGGAGGCCUCCUUGGCUCUAGGGAAAGUUCAGCAAGGCAGAAGAGAAGUGCUGAGACAACAUUCUAGGCAGAGGAGCCCCAUGUCUCUCAGGAAGGGGGCUGCCUAGUGCCCCUGCCAUGCCCCAUCACGGGUGGGGAGCAGCCCAUGGAAAGGGGGGGUCUCAGCACAGGCCAGGAUGGAUUCAGAGCAUGGAGUGGCAGCUGGUGCCCUGGGCCAGAUGCGCUCCCAGCUGGAGGCACUUUCUCACAACUGCUGUGUAGGCCUGGGUCCACGUUGUUUCAUGAGGAAAAGCCAUGCGGGUGCUGCCUGGCACAUAUGUAGAGCAAGUGCCAUAUGACACGGUGGAAGGUGCCCUGGAAUUGGCAUCAAUGUCCCAGGUCAAGUCCCUGAUCCGUCACUUAUUAUUAGUUCAUGAUCUUAGGUGAGUCACUAAACCUCUCAGAGCCUUGGUUUCUUGAUCUUAAAACAAUACCUGUCUUACAGUAUGGUUGUAGAGUGAAACUAGCUCUUGUGAGAAAGAGUGCUUUGUAUAAUGUUGACACAAAUGCACACGUGGUAACAAAAGCAACAAAGCACAACUAUUAAAGACCAAUGACAGGAGCUCUGGAAUUUUGCUAUAAGCAGUCUGUGGCAAUGAUAGAGAUUUGUCUGUCUCUGUGGUUAUACUUGCACGAAACUGCACACCAUGCCAGUAUACAAAUUCCACAGUGUCUCAGUCAUUUAGCAGAUGUCAGUUGACUUGACUGUUCUGGGCAGGUAUUUAUACAAAUAAAAAAAUAAAAAGCAUUUCAGAAAACCCUAUUUUUUUUUUAAACAAAAGAUGGCUUUUCCACAGCUGCUAAAUAAUUCAAAGUCAGCAGUAAUUCAUAGUGAGUCAGCGGUAGCUUCUUACUGCUUCCCACUGCUUUUUUUCCUUUUCUGCUUGUAAGAUGAAGACACUGGCGAUGAAAGGGCUGAGAUGUUUUAGUUCCCGGAAGUCCCUUGGUCUUUUUUUUUUUUUUUCUUUUGAGAUGGGGUCUCUCUCUGUCUCCCAGACUGGAGUGCAGUGGUGCAAUCUCGGCUCACCACAACCUCCACCCCCGGUGUUCAAGCAAUUCUCCUGCCUCAGCCUCCCAAGUAGCUGGGAUUACGGGCACGUGUCACCACGCCCGGCUAAUUUUGUAUUUUUAGUAGAGACGGGGUUUCUCCAUGUUGGUCAGGCUGGUCUCGAACUCCUGACCUCAAGUGAUCCACCCGCCUCGGCCUCCCAAAGUGCUGGGAUUACAGGCGUGAGCCACCGUGCCUGGCCGCUUGGGUUUUGUGCUAGCGAAAUAUUGAGAUCUGUAGGCUGUGGAGCAACCUGUUAGCGAUGAUGGGUGAGUUCACAGGCAGAGGCAGUAGCUCCAAGGCCUCAACCAGAGACCCAGAUCCCAGGGCAGUGUCACUCAUUUUGUCAACGAUUCUAGGGGAUGGGGAGACAGGAGCUGGAAAAAUAAACCAGAAAGACUUCAUGGGUUUAUUUCUAAAUAGAUGAAGGUUACAGAGCAAGGUAAAUUUUAUGCAGGAAAAACGGGUGGCAGUAGAUGAUCUAGUGUUAGAAUCUCAGCAUGGCCCUGGGGCUGGGAGCAAAUGAAAUUAGACGUGGGAUUAGUGGGAACCAGGUAGCCAAGGGUGGAGGCCUAACCAGAAUUGAGUGAUUCACACCAUUAACAAUGACCAGCUGUGAAGAAGCAGAUCACCCCACCUGAGGACAGCCCCGAAGGAAGAGGUGCUUUUACCACCACCCAAGGAUGAAAGCAGUGAUUUCUCCUUCAAAUCCAGCCCCAAAGCUGUGGCUCUCCUCACCAGUUUUCCUUUCCUUCUGGCCAUGCAACCUCUUCUGCUCCAUGGCCAGUUCAGAGGACACAUGACUCCAGCAGGAGGGGACAAACCAGUCACCAUUCAGGAGCCUGAAUAACCAGGGCUUCUGACACCGUGGGCCUCAGACUACCCACAUCAGCACCACGUGGGCAGCUUGUUAAGGAGGCGACUGCAUGAGCCCACCCAGAUCUGCCUGUUCAGAAUGUCUGGAAGGGGACUCCAGAACCUGUGUGCCCCUCCCGCAUCUUCCUCAAGGCAUUGUUUUGCACACAAACAUGUAAGAAUCACCGGGCGUGGUGGCUCGCACCUGUAAUCCCAGCACUUUGGGAGUCCGAGGAGAGAGGAUCACGAGGUCAGGAGUUUGAGACCAGCCUGGCCAACAUGAUGAAACCCUGUCUCUACUAAAAAUAUAAAAAUCAGCUGGGCAUGGUGGCCCAUGCCCAUAAUCCUAGCUACUCGGGAGGCUGAGGCAGAAAAAUGGCUUGAACCUGGGAGGCAGAGGUUGCAGUGAGCUGAGAUCCCGCUACUGCAUUCCAGCCUGGGCAACAAGAGCAAAACUCCGUCUCAAAAAAAAAAAAAAAAUUGUGAGACCCAAUUAAAUGAUCUCUAAGCUGCCAGAUCAAAAACACUGUGACUUCAGAAUCCCAGUUUAAGAAAAAUGAUCUUAUUUCUCAGUAAUUUAUAAUUUUAAAGGUUUAAUCUUCUUUCUCCCCUAAGUAUUAUCUCUCCGUCUUUAAGUCCCAACAAAUUAUUUAUAAAAUAAUGUAUGGGCUGGGCGCGGUAGCUCACACCUGUAAUCCCAGCACUUUGGGAGGCCGAGAUGGGUGGAUCACCUGAGGUCAGGAGUUCGAGACCAGCCUGGCCAACAUGAAGAAACUCCGUCUCUACUAAAAAUACAAAAAUUAGCUGGGUGUGGUGGCAUGUGCCUGUAGUCCCAGCUACUCGGGAG
rnacentral:lncRNA from 1 species